UUUGGACAAUGGGGGCAACCCUGAUCCAGCCAUCCCGCGUGUGCGAUGAAGGCCUUCGGGUUGUAAAGCACUUUUGGCAGGGAAGAAAUAGGUCUGGCUAAUAUCUGGACUGAAUGACGGUACCUGCAGAAUAAGCACCGGCUAACUACGUGCCAGCAGCCGCGGUAAUACGUAGGGUGCAAGCGUUAAUCGGAAUUACUGGGCGUAAAGCGUGCGCAGGCGGUUCGGAAAGAAGGAUGUGAAAUCCCAGGGCUUAACCUUGGAAUGGCAUUCUUAACUACCGGGCUAGAGUAUGUCAGAGGGGGGUAGAAUUCCACGUGUAGCAGUGAAAUGCGUAGAGAUGUGGAGGAAUACCGAUGGCGAAGGCAGCCCCCUGGGAUAAUACUGACGCUCAUGCACGAAAGCGUGGGGAGCAAACA
rnacentral:rRNA from 1 species